UUCCUUUCUCCCUCUCUCUGUCGCAUGCUCUAUGCUAGGCCCGAAGAAUGACGGCAGAGGCUUGGGGAAUGGUGGUCGACGGCGGCAGGGGGGUCGGGGUCGGGCUGUUCGAUGGCAGGGGGCUCGGGGCUGGGCUCGACAGCAAUGACUGGUGGCUCGUGGCUGGGCUCGACAACAACGGCUGAUGGCUCGGGGGGGCUCGACGGCGGGUGGGGGGGUCUUGGGUCUGGGCUCGACGACACAGGGUCUGGGCAGAGGGCUAUUUGGCUUCGGGACUUUGAGAGACACGAGAGCUAUGGCCAUGGAGAGGAUCUAUCUUGGUGGAAAGUGUUUUUGCAUUUGGGUCCACCGGGAAUGAUCCUAGAUUGAUCUUCUCCUUCAAGGUCUCCUCUUUCCCACCGAGAAUGACCUCGCCGCCGACCUAAUCGCUGGCAAAUACAACUAUCAUCAAUGCCUCCUCUUCCUCCUCAUUGCUCUUGAGCCUAUCUCCUUCUUCAUUUAGGUUUGUUUUUUGCUUCUUCCAGAUCUGUCUCAUUUUUAUUGUGCAAAUGUCAGCUAUUAUGAUCUCCAACAAUCUUCAAGGCUUCUCAACGAUUCUGUUCUUUGAAGAUAGAAGUAGCUUUUCGAUAAGUCUAGUUUGUUCAUUUUAGGUAUAGUAUUUGACAUUCUAGACUACAUUAUAGUUUAGAAGAUACUUCUUUCUAAAUAUUCAUGAUAUUGGUUUUCUUUGUUUUUGAGUUAAAAUUGUUUCAUUUUAAGCUUUAAAAUGACAAGUUGGAAGUUUGAUUCAUGUCUCAGCAUCUUCUGUACUUAUCAAGGACUAGAAACUGCAGGAUUUAAUACAUGGAAAAAACUCCUGCUAGGUAUUUGAUCAAAUGCCUCUAUGUAAUGUGCUCAUUUGAUGAAGUUACUAUGCUUUACUUUAGUGAUUGGAUCUUGUUGAAUUUUCUGAUAAAUAUCUUCUUUUUUUUUUUUUGCAAAAGAAAUUUGCUAGGAAAACUAUGAACAAGCUCACUCUCUGUUUCUUUGUCUAUCUUCUGAAAUUUGGGCAAAUUAUCAACUAGAGAAUAUAUCUAAAUAUAAUUAGUAUUAGUAGUAAUUAAGUUCUAGUAGCUUCAGUAAUACCGAUUCAUGUCAUUUAUUUUUUUAUUAGUGUUUGGGUGGAAGGAUUAUUAUAUGCAUAUAUCUCUCUUAUCUUUUAGUUUAGUUCUAAUUGACCUACAUAUGUUUAUAUAUAUAAAGGUAUGUACAUACAUAUAUAUAUAUAUUUCUUUGGCUUAGUGAUACUAAAAGUACGGUAUAUAAGUUAUUAUCCUUGCUUGUUUGAAACUCUUUGUAUAUGUUUCUUUAUUAAGAUUUUUUAAAGGAUAUGACAUUGGGUGCUGGGAGAUGUUAUUCCUUGUAAGGAUAUGACUACUCAGGCUCAAUAAAGUAAUUAUCAGUAUUUGUUUUCUUUUAUGCUCAAUAAAGUAAUUAUCAGUAUUUGUUUUCUUUUAUUGAUUAAGUAGCAUUUAUUAUUGAGUUCUUGUAUCUCUAAUGAGAUUCAUUGGACCAAUUUUGACUUUUAUGCUCUUCCAUCUUUCCUCUACCUCUCAUAUCUCUCCAUGAACGCAAACCCAUUUCAGCUCAAGAUCUGUUCCAUUUUCAAGUUUGUAUUUUUUUUCUACAUUUUUAUUUCUACUCUCUUUGUCUCUCUCGGCUUCCUCUCUCUCUAUCUCUCACUCUUCUCUUUUUUGCAUUUCUUAACUAUAUUUACUUUUUUUUUUUUUGUAUUAACUUGUUCUCUGUUUUUCUUAUGUGAAAGGGGAAAGCUUUUGGUGAAAAUAGCUUCUCUCUCAGAUGCUCUAUCUCUCUCAUAUCAGGUAUGUACGUAUGUGUGUUUUGGGAUGGGCGGUGCGGGUUUUGACAGAAUAAGUUCAUUAAUUCAUUUAUUUGUGUUAUAAGCUUAUAAGGUUGAGUUUAUGUCUGAUCUUCAUUCCAACCAUUUGUUGAGAAAGUUUUAGAGUUUGAUUUAAUUUUUUGAUCUGUAUUGUGAUUUGGAAAAUAUUUUUUAAAAAUAAAAUAAAAUUUAUAUAUGGUUGUUUCUUGAUAUAAUGUUACACUUGAUGAGUACGACUUCUAUUGUUGGGAUUUUAAUGAGACAAUUAUAGAACCUGGCUUCACAUUUAUGACUGCUAAUUUUGAUGGAAUACUUGGACUUGGAUUUCAAGAGAUCUUGGUUGGAAAUGUUGUUUAGGUAAAUCUAUCUAUCUCAACCUCUAAACAUGCCGUAAAACUUCAAUUGAAUCUUCAAUCCAUGUUGUAAAAUGUUUAAUGAGAUUUAUAACCUCCUAAUGAUAAAUUAUUAUAACUUAACUUGUGGAUUUUUCUUAGCAGUUAAUUGCCCUAUUUCUCUCUUUUGUUAAAUGAGAUUUAUAACCAUUUAUUUAGACUUAUCUUUUGUUUUGCAAUAGGAAAGGGGUGACUAAAGUGUGAUAAGUGCUUUUAUGAGUGCUUUUUCUAUAUACACAUAUUAGGUCUACUUGCACCCACCAUUUAAUGUCAAAUUAAUGAUAUAAAUUAUUUACUCUUAUUAUAGCUGACAUCUAACAUAUAGUAUUGUAAUUGAUUCUCUUUGCAAAAUGGAGAAAACUUAAAGAGUUAUAUGAACUGAUGUUAUCGAACAGGGUUCUACCAGAUUCACUUUGAUCAAAGGCUAUAUGAAGGUUGAUAAAACACAAGUGUUAAUACUGAGUUCUCAUCAUAUAGUUUAUGUUCCAUAAUUAGCAUUAUACAAAUUAGGUAAUAAGUGGUUGCAUUACCCAGUUUGAUUGUGUUGUGUGUACCAAGACAUGAGAAUUCAAGUACAACAAAGGAUAACAUAUAUACUGAGUUCUUAACUUAGAUUGAUUGAUCAACAUAAUUAGUCCUUAGUUAAUUUAAUUAUUUUUGUUAGGUGGCUAUACUCACAUAUUUGAAUGUACAUCAAAGCUGCCCAUUUACACUUAAAUGUGCAAUUUUCAUUUCGAACUCCCAUGUAAGUAAUAGUCCAGGUCCUCUAAAUAAUACUCUAUUGAAUUAUGUUCUCUAUAGAUUAGCUUGUGUACAUGAAUGAAAGACAACAUAUUAUUAAAUAUAUUUAGGUGCGAUUCUAGUAGGUUAAUGAAAUUUUUAAUAUAUAUUAUGAUUUUUAAUUAAGAACUGAAUUAUUUUGAGAAGCACGAGAACUGGAAGUUGUACAGUAUUAGAAUUUUUUCUUUCUACAUAUACAUAUGUGAAACAGCUACAUCUACUUGUUGUAGUAUCAUAAGGAAGAAUAAAUAGUAAGUUUCUUUUUCUUGUGUGAUGGUUUUGAUUGCUGGUUUUGAUUCCAUGUCAGUUUAGCUGCUGAAGCUGAACAUGGUGAUGCUUUUAGAAAGGAAAGGUCCUUAGUUCAAGGUGUAGAAAAGGUAAUUAAUACCAAACAUGUUUCAUGUAAUUUGAAAUUGAUUGCAGUUUUACUUUCAUAUAUUUUAAAGAUUUUUAUUAGAGCUUAUCUGAGUUUGAAUUAUAAAAACAUAGUUUCCUAGUUGAGUUAAGACUUCCUAUUUAUGGCUAUUUGUCAAAUACUUUUGUACUUAGUGGAUUUUGAAUAUCUUAGAUAUUCAUCCGUAGCUCUUGAUAUCUAUUUUUAAACUUAGAGUGGAUAAUGUCUUAUUCUGAGUUUGUCUCUUAACAAUAGAACUAGUAAUUGAUUGGGUAAUUAUGUUUCCUGUUAGGUUCAUUUUAGGUUUGUUUUAGAGGUCGUUUUAGGUUGUGUUUUUAGUUAUUUAGGAUUGUUUAGUGCAGAUUUAUGCUUGUUUUCUUUUUGUUUCAGGUUUUAAUGGUCAAUUACAUAAUAUGGAGUGAAAUGAGAAGAAACAAGUUAAAUAUGAUAAAUACGAUGGAUUUUGUGUUGAUUGUGGAGUUUCAAGACAUUAUGUGUGAAAAAUAAUACAUUGAAGAUGCUCAACACACGUCAUUUAUGCUCUAUAACGCAAGUCUGAAACUUCAAGCCACAUUUUUACCAUGAUGUAUUCACUUUCUGGAAACACUUCUAGAAAUAAAAGUUGUAGAUAUUUCUCUUAGAUUUCCAUAUCUUUUUUAAUCAUUCAAUUCGGAGUUAUAUCGAAGGAGUUAUGAUCAAAAUACUAUGAGCUAACGCUGCAGGCUGUUCGAACCGAGUUUUGUCAAUUCUGACUUUAGCGAUACAGCGCCAUAAUAAGAGCGCUACAGCGCUAGUGCACCAGAUUUUGAGGUAUUUUGCCACUGUUAAUAGCGCUACAACGCUCCAGAAGUAGCGCUACAGCGCUAGAGACGCGAUUUUCACAGAUCUGAUCAUUUUUUGAUGGGCAAUUUGGUCCUUUCACUUGGAAUUUGGUAGGGAUUUUUGGAGAAACAUAGUGUGCGACUAGGGAGGCUAAACGGAGGAGACGACGGCUGAGAGUGGAGAACCCCAUUGGAGGAUUCAUUCUUGUGUUUUUCAUCAUCUUCUUCAAUUUUUAUGUUUGUAAUUGAAUUCUCUUAUUGCCAGAAUGAAUAUUAUGGGCUAAUUUCUUCUUUAGGGCUAUUAUGUGAAUCUUUUGGAAACCCUUUUUAUAGUUUAAUGCAGAAUUGAUGUUCUUCUUCA